rnacentral:rRNA from 1 species
AGUGAACGCUGGCGGUAGGCCUAACACAUGCAAGUCGAACGGCAGCACAGUAAGAGCUUGCUCUUACGGGUGGCGAGUGGCGGACGGGUGAGGAAUACAUCGGAAUCUACUUUUUCGUGGGGGAUAACGUAGGGAAACUUACGCUAAUACCGCAUACGACCUACGGGUGAAAGCAGGGGCUCUUCGGACCUUGCGCGAUUGAAUGAGCCGAUGUCGGAUUAGCUAGUUGGCGGGGUAAAGGCCCACCAAGGCGACGAUCCGUAGCUGGUCUGAGAGGAUGAUCAGACACACUGGAACUGAGACACGGUCCAGACUCCUACGGGAGGCAGCAGUGGGGAAUAUUGGACAAUGGGCGCAAGCCUGAUCCAGCCAUACCGCGUGGGUGAAGAAGGCCUUCGGGUUGUAAAGCCCUUUUGUUGGGAAAGAAAAGCAGCAGGUUAAUACCCCGCUGUUCUGACGGUACCCAAAGAAUAAGCACCGGCUAACUUCGUG